rnacentral:rRNA from 2 species
GGUUGACCUCGGAUCAGGUAGGGAUACCCGCUGAACUUAAGCAUAUCAAUAAGCGGAGGAAAAGAAACCAACAGGGAUUGCCCUAGUAACGGCGAGUGAAGCGGCAAGAGCUCAAAUUUGAAAGCUGGCUCCUUCGGGGUCCGCAUUGUAAUUUGCAGAGGAUGCUUCGGGAGUGGCCCCUGUCUAAGUGCCCUGGAACGGGCCGUCAUAGAGGGUGAAAAUCCCGUAU